GCCUUCACCAUGAAGCUCCAUGAGCUUUCCCAAAUUUAUUGACCACUUCUUUCAAGUCAUUUGUCUGCACCUCUCGGGUCAUGAUUUCCAUCAUCUUCUUCCGGAUUUGGCUGGUACUGAGCAUAAGAGGUCUUCCGUAUCUGAUUGUUGCGUUUUUUAGUAAAACCAACACAGAACAGACGAAGCAAGUAACCAUCGGUAGUCU
rnacentral:lncRNA from 1 species